rnacentral:tRNA from 1 species
AAGAUUUUAAGUUAAGAUAAACUAUUAACCUUCAAAGUUAAAAAUAUGGGUAUACAAGAUAAAUCUUA